rnacentral:lncRNA from 1 species
UGACCUCCAUCUCUCUUUGGCCCUCAGCUUGAGUUGCCAGAUCUUGCCACCAUUCUAGCAUGGAUUGAGCACAUGCUGCCAUCUUCUUUGUCAUCGUCUAUCAAACUAAAAACAGUUAGGUUACAUAUUAAAUUGUGUGCGGGCACAUAAAUCAUGCCAGCCACCCUUAGAUUAUGUGGUCUUUGAGUACUAUUAUUAUAGUUCAAAUAAAUUAAUAGACAUAUAAGCUUGGACAGUGACUGAACUGAUGAUGAUGGUUAAAGAAAUGUGGUCAUUUACUUCAGUUCUUUCACAAAUUGGAAAAACAUGAAGCAAUUUUCUGUGCUGGAGUCGCAGUGUUAGAAAUACCAACAUAGAAAUCAAAUACGAAGAUCAAUAUUAAUUAAUGAAAUAGGGUCCAACAUUUGGUCUCUUUUUAUUUAUAUCAUUUUUUAAUACAAGGUAUCAAAGCCAACAUAACUCAACUCAACUAAACCUUGGUCCCGAACUAGUUGGGGUUGGCUAAAUAAAUCUUUUUCCAACAUUCCACUAUAAUUAGGGCAAGCAAUCAGUCUCGUAAAAUUGCAGCAUUAAUAUUGUAGUGGCAAUGCUGAAGAAGUCGAGAAAAGGAUAAUUGAGUUAACUCUAUGCUGGUUCUCUCUUUUUGGGUAUAGAAAGCCAUAAAAAUUCUAAUAAGCAAUGCUACCGACAUCACUAUUGAUUUCUUAAACCAUAUAUAUAUCUGUAUCUGCGUAUGUAUAUUGGUAUGCACAUAUGGAUGGAUGGAUGGAUGUUUUCGUGUGCGUGCGUAGGGGGGCCUAUAUAAACUUGCAUCCUUUUCUAAGUGUUAUCAUUGUAACAUGUUCUAUUAAAACAGAUUAUGGUGCCAAGUGUUGUAGUAGCAUUGUUGUAAAAUAGUAAGGGUUCAUAGGCAACUGACCUUGAGCUUAUCCAUUGUAAAAGCAGGACUGACAACAUGCCGGUGCCUAGCCCAUUCCGCCCCUUGAGUGAGAGGCAAACCCAUACCGAAUAAAGCCAGUAGGCUAGGAAUUGGUGUAUCCUUUGGGAAGAAACCAAAUUUGUUCGAUAGCACUUGUUUAGCCAACUCUGGAUCAGUGAUACAUAUCGUUGGAUGGGGUCCAAACCAAUAUAGAAAUGUUUCUCUUGUGGCAUGCAGCAACAUAAUUAAGAAAUUUAACAAUAUUUUAACAUUUGACUUUUUUAGUUGAAUUAUGUCAUUUUUAUAGUAAUUAAAGACCAGCUUGACUUAUUACAGAGCAGCUCAUUUCCAUGUUCUUGGACACAUGAACAAUAUUUACGGACUUUUUAUUGAGUGCUCAAAUGUGGGAAUGUAUGACAUAUCUUUCUACCAUUUGUCACCCUAUCAUGGACAUAUGAAGUUCUCCGAUCUAUGUAUUCUGGAUUUAUCCUUUGAGUCGUGGUAACAGUGUUCUCCAACUUAUUGAGAAAUUAUCAAAUCAGACUCGACCAUCUAUACCCCAUUAGAGAAAUGAUGCUGACUUAUUCUCUUCUAGCAGGAGCGGACAAGAAUUAUCAAGCAUAUGUGAAUUUAAUUGUUUAAUUGUGAAUUGUUAAUGAUUUAUUCAAUAAAAUUUUAUGGAUUAUAGUUAAUCAUGCUAUUUGUCACUAUUAGAGAUGAUGCUUUUAUUAAUAUCUAUAGUUGUUGCCUCUUUCACCACGCUUAUUUCUACUACUAUACUAAUUAUUUUAUAUAAUUUUUUUUACUUUGUAAAUUUUAUUAAAUCUAUUUCUGAAUUUUGGCAAAUUUAAAUUUUUUAAGAGACAAAUUUUGAAAUUUUGUACCUUGCCAAAUUAGUUCGUGUGUGCUGAUCUUGUUGCUAUAUUCCAGAAAAGAUGAAGAAGAUAAAAUGAGGACUAAGGAGACAUAUUGAGUGUGUGUGUAGAUCUUGUGACAGUGAGUCGGUGUGUGUAUGUGUGGGUGGUUGUGUGUGUGCUUGCGCCCGCAUGCACGUGUGUGUACAUAUGUGCGUGUGUUCAUGCGCGCGCGCGUGUGUGUGUGUGCGCUGUGUAAAUUUUAUUACAGCUAUUUCUGAAUUUUGAAAAAUUCCACUUUUUUAAGAGGCAAAUUCUGAAAUCUUGCAACUUGCAAAAUUAAUUCCUGUGUGCUGAUCUUGUGACUGUGUUCCAAAAAAGAUGAGGAAGAUAAGUUGACUGUGUUCCAAUCCAAGAUUGCUCAUCUCCCUACAAAAAGAAGCUCAAAGUUAGAACCUAGUACCUUCCAAAUCUUCAAACAGCCAAAGCAUGCAAAGGAGCAGCAAUUCGGGGCUCUGGAACACAGUUUGAGCAAAGAAAACUUUGACAGCCGAUCUUUGAUACCUUCCUGAAUGAUAUAGUAGCAUUAGAGGAAGAUUGCUAUCUUAUUUAUACCAUAAGUUUUAGACAUUUUGUUUGCUUAACAAAUGUUGCUGUGACAAACUGGUGACUGUGGUUUCCUGUUUGCUCUCUGUAAAUGAGAUCAUGGAUGAUGCAAGCAAGGAAGGGCUUCUUUUGUGCAUUAUUGCCUUCGUCCAAACAAAGUCCAAUCCUUACAAUGGCACACCUGCUUGUAUUGCUUCAUUUUUCC